UACGUAGGGGGCUAGCGUUGUCCGGAAUCAUUGGGCGUAAAGAGCGUGUAGGCGGCCCGGUAAGUCCGCUGUGAAAGUCGGGGGGCUCAACCCUCGAAUGCCGGUGGAUACUGUCGGGCUAGAGUGCGGAAGAGGCGAGUGGAAUUCCUGGUGUAGCGGUGAAAUGCGCAGAUAUCAGGAGGAACACCGGUGGCGAAGGCGGGUCUCUGGGCCGAAACUGACGCUGAGGAGCGAAAGCGUGGGGAGCAAACAGG
rnacentral:rRNA from 1 species